rnacentral:rRNA from 1 species
AGAAGCAGCCAUCAUUUAAAGAAAGCGUAAUAGCUCACUGGUCGAGUCGGCCUGCGCGGAAGAUGUAACGGGGCUAAACCAUGCACCGAAGCUGCGGCAGCGACACUGUGUGUUGUUGGGUAGGGGAGCGUUCUGUAAGCCUGUGAAGGUGUGUCGUGAGGCAUGCUGGAGGUAUCAGAAGUGCGAAUGCUGACAUAAGUAACGAUAAAGCGGGUGAAAAGCCCGCUCGCCGGAAGACCAAGGGUUCCUGUCCAACGUUAAUCGGGGCAGGGUGAGUCGACCCCUAAGGCGAGGCCGAAAGGCGUAGUCGAUGGGAAACGGGUUAAUAUUCCCGUACUUGGUGUUACUGCGAAGGGGGGACGGAGAAGGCUAUGUUGGCCGGGCGACGGUUGUCCCGGUUUAAGCGUGUAGGUGUGUGUUCCAGGUAAAUCCGGUUCACUUUAACACUGAGGCGUGACGACGAGGCACUACGGUGCUGAAGCAACAAAUGCCCUGCUUCCAGGAAAAGCCUCUAAGCAUCAGGUAACAUCAAAUCGUACCCCAAACCGACACAGGUGGUCAGGUAGAGAAUACCAAGGCGCUUGAGAGAACUCGGGUGAAGGAACUAGGCAAAAUGGUGCCGUAACUUCGGGAGAAGGCACGCUGACACGUAGGUGAAGUGAUUUACUCAUGGAGCUGAAGUCAGUCGAAGAUACCAGCUGGCUGCAACUGUUUAUUAAAAACACAGCACUGUGCAAACACGAAAGUGGACGUAUACGGUGUGACGCCUGCCCGGUGCCGGAAGGUUAAUUGAUGGGGUCAGCGCAAGCGAAGCUCCUGAUCGAAGCCCCGGUAAACGGCGGCCGUAACUAUAACGGUCCUAAGGUAGCGAAAUUCCUUGUCGGGUAAGUUCCGACCUGCACGAAUGGCGUAAUGAUGGCCAGGCUGUCUCCACCCGAGACUCAGUGAAAUUGAACUCGCUGUGAAGAUGCAGUGUACCCGCGGCAAGACGGAAAGACCCCGUGAACCUUUACUAUAGCUUGACACUGAACAUUGAGCCUUGAUGUGUAGGAUAGGUGGGAGGCUUUGAAGUGUGGACGCCAGUCUGCAUGGAGCCGACCUUGAAAUACCACCCUUUAAUGUUUGAUGUUCUAACGUGGACCCGUUACCCGGGUUGCGGACAGUGUCUGGUGGGUAGUUUGACUGGGGCGGUCUCCUCCUAAAGAGUAACGGAGGAGCACGAAGGUUGGCUAAUCCUGGUCGGACAUCAGGAGGUUAGUGCAAUGGCAUAAGCCAGCUUGACUGCGAGCGUGACGGCGCGAGCAGGUGCGAAAGCAGGUCAUAGUGAUCCGGUGGUUCUGAAUGGAAGGGCCAUCGCUCAACGGAUAAAAGGUACUCCGGGGAUAACAGGCUGAUACCGCCCAAGAGUUCAUAUCGACGGCGGUGUUUGGCACCUCGAUGUCGGCUCAUCACAUCCUGGGGCUGAAGUAGGUCCCAAGGGUAUGGCUGUUCGCCAUUUAAAGUGGUACGCGAGCUGGGUUUAGAACGUCGUGAGACAGUUCGGUCCCUAUCUGCCGUGGGCGCUGGAGAACUGAGGGGGGCUGCUCCUAGUACGAGAGGACCGGAGUGGACGCAUCACUGGUGUUCGGGUUGUCAUGCCAAUGGCACUGCCCGGUAGCUAAAUGCGGAAGAGAUAAGUGCUGAAAGCAUCUAAGCACGAAACUUGCCCCGA